UGCUCCCUGAGAUUAGCGGCGGACGGGUGAGUAACACGUGGGCAACCUGCCUAUAAGACUGGGAUAACUUCGGGAAACCGGAGCUAAUACCGGAUACGUUCUUUUCUCGCAUGAGAGAAGAUGGAAAGACGGUUUACGCUGUCACUUAUAGAUGGGCCCGCGGCGCAUUAGCUAGUUGGUGAGGUAAUGGCUCACCAAGGCGACGAUGCGUAGCCGACCUGAGAGGGUGAUCGGCCACACUGGGACUGANACACGGCCCAGACUCCUACGGGAGGCAGCAGUAGGGAAUCUUCCGCAAUGGACGAAAGUCUGACGGAGCAACGCCGCGUGAACGAAGAAGGCCUUCGGGUCGUAAAGUUCUGUUGUUAGGGAAGAACAAGUACCAGAGUAACUGCUGGUACCUUGACGGUACCUAACCAGAAAGCCACGGCUAACUACGUGCCAGCAGCCGCGGUAAUACGUAGGUGGCAAGCGUUGUCCGGAAUUAUUGGGCGUAAAGCGCGCGCAGGUGGUUCCUUAAGUCUGAUGUGAAAGCCCACGGCUCAACCGUGGAGGGUCAUUGGAAACUGGGGAACUUGANUGCAGAAGAGGAAAGUGGAAUUCCAAGUGUAGCGGUGAAAUGCGUAGAGAUUUGGAGGAACACCANUGGCGAANGCGACUUUCUGGUCUGUAACUGACACUGA
rnacentral:rRNA from 1 species